UUAAAAUCGGUCUUGGUACCAAGAUGAAGUUAGGGUUCAUUGACGGAUCUAUCUCUAUUCCAAGUAAGGAAUCCGAGAUCUAUAGUAAAUGGAAACAUUGUGACUAUAUGGUCACAUCCUAGAUAUUGAACUCAAUAUCCAAGAAUUUGGUUGAAUCCUUUGUUUACAUAGCCUCCACGAGAGAGCUAUGGCUUGAAAUCACAUAGCGAUAUGGUGAGAGUAACACUCCUCUCAUAUAUCAUCUUCAAAGAAAAAUUGCAUCUAUUGCACAGGAAAACUCCUCUAUGUCAGUUUACUUUACUAAGCUGAAAUCCCUGUGGGAUGAGUUGGGAAUAAUGGAUGUGUCCCCAUCCUAUACUUGUGGAGCUGCAAAGCUUCAUGAAGAAAUUAUCAAUCGAAACAAAAUUACGCAAUCUUUUAUGGGGCUCAAUGAUGCUUUAGAUCCUGCAUGAAAUCAGGUGUUUAUGAUGGAUCCUUUGCCUUCUGUUAACAAGGCAUAUUCCAUGGUCUUAAAAUCUGAAUAUCAGAAAAGGGUUUUGUCUAAUAUCUUUGAGCUAUCUGGUUCUGUAGCUCUCAGAGUUCAACUUGAAUCACCUCAACUCCUUGAAUCAAAAAGAUAUGAUCACAGAAGGGGACAUUGUACCCAUUGUGACAUGGAUAGGCAUAUCAAGGAGAGUUGUUUCAAGCUAAUACGGUACCUUGAGUGGUUUAAAAGCAGAAAUAAGAACAAUUCUCAAUCUAAUAGAUCAGGGAAAACUUCUUAUAACCCUAAGUUCGCUGCCAAUGUGGAAAGCUCAUUUGUUGAGUCCCCUCUUUGACAUGUCUUAGGAUCAGUCCAUAAUUGAUGAUCUGAACUCCAAGUUUUCUUUUUGGCAACUUGAAGUAUCUAAGCUAAUAAAGGGAAAAUCUAUCUUACACACUGGACAGGGUGCUGGAAUAGGACAACAAGCUGGCUCACCGCAUAUGCUUCCUUCCUUUACUGCUUGCUGAUGUCUCACCAAGCCCUUGUCUUCUACGCUGCACCAUCAACUUCUGUCCAAGUCGCAUCUAGUUGGCUUGCUCGAUACAACUUGAGGGAGGGAUAUAGAAUAAUGAUUAAUUGUAAAGUGUAAAUUGUUAUGUAUAGGAUGUAUUUUAUAUAUAAUAGGUUAUAUAAAGCCUUCCUUUUCUUUUGUUUAAUAUAAUAAAAAAUCUCUUUCUGUUUUGGGUUUUCUAA